GUUCGUGGGUUGGCAGGGUGUUUUUUACGGUCCUUGUUUGCACCCAGCGGCCACCCGUGAAAAUAUCUCCUCUCCCUUGCCUUCUCUCAUGCGCUCUCCCCUCCCCCGAUCCCCUCCUUCCGUACCGUCGCGCCGCCGGCUCCACGCAGCGGCCGACGAGGCCUUCUCUCCCCGGCGCUCGAGGUACAGCAGCGGCUGCGGCACUUCGGCCGAGCCGGAUCUGGUGCAGGUCGCCGGCAUCACGCGCCGCGUGCCGUGAUUCUGGAUCGGGCGCAGAUCUUUGCGCUGCCACCUCUCCUCCUCCUCUCUCUCUCUCUCCCAUGCCGCCAUCGUUGCAAGGAGCAGGGGAGAUAGGUGCCGAGGACAAGAAGCAACGGUUUGGUCAUGGUGGGCUUGAGCUGCUGGGGAGAUGGAGGAGGCCGUCGUGGUUCGUCAUGGAGGCGGCGCCGCCUGCAAGCUGGUUGAGAAAACCAAAUCUGCACCAUGCCGCCUCACCCUCUCAGAUUAUUGUUUCAUCCCUUUGAAAGUUUUUUAGCACAGAGGAAUGAGGAAUGGAUACAUGAGGCAUGGCGUAAGCGUAGGUGUCAGCCAGGGCACGAUGCAAGAGUCUGCCCAUCUCCUCUCAAACACGAAAGGCACUAAUGCGUCCCGAAAACCUAGCACACAAAGGAUCAAUCCUUCCCUUCCUCGAGCCCCAUUCGAGUCCGCGCCGUUCAGCAUCUCCAGCCUCCCCCGCUCCUCGACCCUCCGGCCCCACGGCCUCUCGCGCCGCCGCCUUCUUCCCUGGACGUCUUCCCCGACGCUCGUGGUGCAGCAGUGGCCAUUGCAGUAGGUUAGUUAAGCUUGCUUGCCUAACCUGCUAUGGAUGAAUGGUGUGUCUCACCAGGAAACAUUAGAUUAAUGAAUUACUUGGCCUCUACAAAUUUCGAAAUAUUGGUUCGGGAUAUAUUAAUUUCCACUCCUUAUUGUUCAUGGCAUAAACAACCACUAUAAAAGGUCACAAGUAGAAACUUAGGUCAAGUUAUUGCUGGAUGUAGCCUGCUUUGUUCAAUUGAAAUAUAUUUGCAACAUGAGCUGGUUGUUGAUCGUUACUCUCGAUUGAGGAAUGGGAAAAAAAUCACAUCUUGUGGUGUUUACUACUUUUUGCAUUGUCAAAUUGAAAAUGUUCUGCAAAAAAAAUAGUAGGUUUCCCUUUCAAUAGUUCAUUUUGUCAGUCCGGUUGUAUCGACAGUUCAAUUUUUGUUGGUCUGGGCAUAGCAAGGGAGGUCCCCCAUAUUUGAUGAGUGGCUUGAAGCUGAACUUCUGUAUUUACCUGUGCUUCCUAUGCAUCAAAUAUGACCUAUAAAUUUAAACAGAAUUUCAUGAGUUGCAAGUUGCAGCAUAUUUUCUUGUACAGUCUUGCUAUUUGAUUAUUCUCCUUAUGCCUCCACCCUGUAAUAUUCUCCCAAUGGCCGAUCCAUGAACUCACAGAAAAACAUUAGGUUCUAUGCCAAGUUGUUGGCACCGUAUAUAUACUGAAAGUGGAGUGGUAAUAGUUGAACUUUUUUCUUCCCCUUGUAGUAACACAGACGUCGGUAGCAGGAGAAAGUAUGUGACUUGGUUGAGUCAGCCAAGAAAUAUGGUGGUGCAAUGCACAUAUUUCCUUCGAUGCAUGUCUCCGGCGACCCUGAGUAUAAAUACUGCUAUCAUUUCUUACUGCACACUCUUUAUUCAGGGAUGCUCUGAAUUAGAACUCCCCAUUGGCAUAUCUGCAGUUCCAUGCUAUACAUCCCCCAAAUGACGAAAAUUAAGUUCAGGGGCAUGUUUUUUUAUAUAUGCUUGACUUAACUGGAGCUUAAAUUUGUCAUUUGUUUUAUUACCAAUCUGAUUUAUUCUUGACUCUUGAUUGCAGCCGCUGGAACUGAGGGAUAUUGACACGGGUAACAAAAUAGUUGAAAGAUUUCGUACCGACGAGGCUCUUGAGACUACAAACAUUUCUUCACUCCUUAUACGAAAGGAUUCUAGGACUAAGUUAUAGGAUUUUAUAUUUUAGUCGGAUUUUCCUUCUGUUAAUAUGUGCUCCUGUGCAAUUUUUCAUAGGCUUCUCUUUCCUUUUUCUGGUUACGAUUUACAAAGCUGAGCAAUAGUUUCUCUACUAAUAUAGCUUGCGUGAAAAACAUCCGUCUUUAGGAUGCUUUUGCGGCAUGUGUAACUGCCUCACAUUAGCCUAUGCUUCUAUCCGAGUUGUUUACUACUAAGACCAUUGGAUCAUGCUUUUUAACUGGUAUAUAAGUGUUGAUGGAAAAUGAUAUGUCUUAUUUUUUGCCUGGUAAAUUUUUAUUGGCGCAUGCAAUCCAUGCUUCCCAGUCUUUGGUGACAAUGUUGUCAGGCCAAAAAAUAGAAGUUUUCGAUUUCCUCUCUUUGGUUUUUAGUUGGUUAGAUGUUAAUGCGUGGAAAUGUAUAUGCUGAUUUUUUUCCUGUUUUAAUAAAUUGCUAAUACGUGGAUCUUGUCUGCUUUGCAUGGACUAUAAUAUAUAUUCACAGACUUUGUCUGCUUGCUUCAAAACUAAAAUGUGACUUUUACUUGCCUAUUACCAAAGAAGAUUUCAUGCACGCCACAUCAAGUCGCCAUAGAUGCCUCCAAGUGAAAUUUCAGCGACGACAAGGUAUAUUUUCCCCAACACCUGAUCUUCUUUAAUCAGACCACCGUUCAUUAUUGCGUAUAGGCUUCUUACUCUGCCUGAAUAAGCGAUUGGUAUCCACAUGUUUGUUUCCAUGUGUUCUACUGUCUUUCUGGUACUUGAAGCAUAGUAUGUUCAUGUGUGCGACUACAGUUCCAGCGAGUUGGAAGUCCUGUUGUUCUCAAAGUUUGCAUCAUAUGCCCUUUAGAGAAAUCUUUAUUGAACAUUUUAAUUUUCCUCAUACAUGCUUAUCAUUUGGCAUCAUGUUAUUUUGUGACACAUUAACUGAAUAUGCACACAGGAGGAUCACUCUGGAUGUGUAGGAGGUAUGAAGUAAUAGCCAUUUUUUUUCUCUGUGUAGAUUUGGCAUCAUAUUGCCCAGUAACUGAAUAUGCACGCAGGGGACCACUCUGGAUGAUGUAAAAUGCAUUAUCCGUGGUAAGAAGCUAACGGUGUCGCCCCAUUUAUACCACAUUUAGGCAUGAUAAUUAAAUUAGCCUUCAAAUUAAAUAGAUGUCCGCAUUCAUGGGUACAUAGAUGAGCUGAGCUACUAUUUUCUUGUUUGGGAAUGAGGUAACACUAUACAAACAGCAUGUUGACACUCUGAACAGCUUAAUACUAGACGGAAACAAAAUUUCUCUUCCUACUAUGUCUGUACCAUGAACAAGAUGUUCGCAACAAGUGGUCAACAAAUGGUAUUCUGUUCCUGUCCUUUCUCCUUUUUAUGAAUCUUCAUAGCUGCAUCUUAACCAUGCUUAAUAUCUAUUGCAGUACUUUUCCACUCACUUCACACAAGAAUAUCCCAAGGGGCACAUGCAUGAAGAGCAUACUAAUUUGCUAAUCAAAGCUGGAAACAGACCUGCCAUCGUCAUUGCUCGGCUUAUCAUACAAUCACAAGAAGCUGGACUCAGUUCUUUGACAUCGCAAAUAUGAAAGGAGGAGUGUCAUAUGCAUUUGCCUUUGAGGAAUUGGCGGGAGAACUCAUAUCAUCCUGCACUCCCUUUGAUAGCGUCAUGAGCAACCACUGCCAUUAUCUCAUAAUAUAGCUCAGCUUCAAGACCUAGGUCAUGCACUACUUUUCUCGACCAUAUAAUGUGCUCUGCGUCACCUUAUCCUUUCAGCUCCAGUACUUCAUAAUAUAAAGUAGAUGAAACAUCUUUUUAAAUUGGUGUGGAAAUACCAAUGCAGAUGGAGCUAUGUAAUCCAGCUUGCUUUCUAUCAUGAGUUGGUCUCAUGACUUUGUUUUCAGCCAUCUUGGUACCAUGCAAUGGAAUAUAUAACACUAUGUUUGAACAUCGUA